GUCCAGACUCCUACGGGAGGCAGCAGUGAGGAAUAUUGGUCAAUGGGCGGAAGCCUGAACCAGCCAAGUCGCGUGAGGGAAUAAGGCCCUACGGGUCGUAAACCUCUUUUGCCGGGGAGCAAGGGCGGGGACGUGUCCCGGCCCGGAGAGUACCCGGAGAAAAAGCAUCGGCUAACUCCGUGCCAGCAGCCGCGGUAAUACGGAGGAUGCGAGCGUUAUCCGGAUUUAUUGGGUUUAAAGGGUGCGUAGGCGGGCUUUUAAGUCAGCGGUAAAAAUUCGGGGCUCAACCCCGUCCGGCCGUUGAAACUGGGGGCCUUGAGUGGGCGAGAGGUAUGCGGAAUGCGUGGUGUAGCGGUGAAGUGCAUAGAUAUCACGCAGAACCCCGAUUGCGAAGGCAGCAUACCGGUGCACAACUGACGCUCAGGCACGAAAGCGUGGGUAUCGAACAGGAUUAGAUACCCCUGUACAC
rnacentral:rRNA from 1 species